rnacentral:rRNA from 1 species
ACGACGUCAAGUCAUCAUGGCCCUUAUGUCCUGGGCUACACACGUGCUACAAUGGCCGGUACAGAGCGCAGCGAGGCCGCGAGGCGGAGCGAAUCGCUUAAAGCCGGUCCCAGUACGGAUUGGAGUCUGCAACCCGACUCCAUGAAGUUGGAAUCGCUAGUAAUCGCGCAUCAGCAUGGCGCGGUGAAUACGUUCCCGGGCCUU